UACAGAGGUCCCAAGCGUUGUUCGGAUUCACUGGGCGUAAAGGGUGCGUAGGUGGUGAGGUAAGUCGGAUGUGAAAGCUCUGAGCUCAACUCCGAAAUGGCAUUGGAAACUACCUUGCUCGAGGGUUGGAGGGGGGACUGGAAUGCUUGGUGUAGCAGUGAAAUGCGUAGAUAUCAAGCGGAACACCAGUGGCGAAGGCGAGUCCCUGGACAACUCCUGACACUGAGGCACGAAAGCUAGGGGAGCAAACAGG
rnacentral:rRNA from 1 species